rnacentral:misc_RNA from 1 species
AAAUAAUUGUAAUAAAAUUGUCAGAUGAGCCGGGACAGCCUUCCUCCUCUGCCCAGCCGCCACAGUGACCUCGGUUCAAGUUUGUACUGGAAACCACCACCAGCAGCAGCAGCAGUAGGGACAAAUAGAGAUUGCAUCAGAUCUGCCAUUGUGUGGUUGUCACCUCAGCAGAGUAGUUUUGAUAGGACCUAUGUAUAUGUAGUUUUUGUAUUUUGAUCAUUGUAUAUAAG